rnacentral:lncRNA from 1 species
UCCCCCUCUAACCACAAGACUACCUGCCUCCCCCCUCUAACCACUAGGCUACCUGCCUCCCCCCUCUAACCACUAGGCUACCUGCCUCCCCCUCUAACCACUAGGCUACCUGCCUCCCCCCUCUAACCACUAGGCUACCUCCUCCCCCCUCCUCCCCCUCUAACCACUAGGCUACCUGCCUCCCCCUCUAACCACUAGACUACCUGCCUCCCCCCUCUAACCACUAGGCUACCUGCCUCCCCCCUCUAACCACUAGGCUACCACUAGGCUACCUACAACUGCUCCAGCAUGGAGGACAGGCAGACAGGCAGACAGACAGGCAGGCAGACAGGCAGACAGGCAGACAGACAGGCAGACAGACAGACAGACAGGCAGACAGACAGGCAGACAGGACAGACAGGCAGACAGACAGACAGGCAGACAGACAGGCAGACAGGCAGACAGACAGACAGACAGGCAGACAGGCACUUCUGUCAUUCCCCAAAAAGACAGACAUUUCCAUGCUCAGAGUCUCAGCCACUUUAGAUUUGAGUGUUGUCUCUGUGUUUUAUCCCACACCAGUGUUUUUCUCUAGCUGUAUAUCAACAAGGUGUAUACUGUAUAUACUGACAGUCUUUAAUGACAGUGUGAGCCGCUGUCUACGUCGGAAUGGCGCCACUCCUACGCGACUCCCGUCCCUGCAGGCAGAAUCGACACGCUAUCUGACCUAAGACAAUGGCGUUACUGUAAAUCAACAAGACAUUGGGGCCAGAGCAAGUUCAUCUCACAUUGAACAGGUUGACUCCCAAAUGGAAACCUAUCCCAUAUAUAUAUAGUGCACUAUUUCUGUCCAGAUCCCUAAGGGGUUGGUAGGUUGGG